rnacentral:rRNA from 1 species
CAAUAGCGUAUAUUAAAGUUGUUGCGGUAAAAAAGCUCGUCGUUGGAUUUCUACCGAAGAUAGCCGGUCGGGUCUUCGACCUUGUAUCUGGUUUUGUCUUUGGUAUCCUCAUAGGGAACGUUUCUGCGCUUUAUUGCGUGGUGCGGUAUCUAUGACUUUUACUUUGAGGAAAUUAGAGUGUUCACGGCAGGCAAACGCCUUGAAUAUAUUAGCAUGGAAUAAUAACAUAGGAUCUUCGUCCUAUUUUGUUGGUUUCUAGGGCUAAGAUAAUGAUUAAUAGGGAUAAUUGGGGGCAUCUGUAUCAACGCGUCAGAGGUGGAAUUCUUGGAUUGCGUUGCGACAAACUACUGCGAAAGCAUUUGCCAAGGAUGUUUUCAUUGA